rnacentral:rRNA from 1 species
CUAACACAUGCAAGUCGGACGGUAGCACAGAGGAGCUUGCUCCUCGGGUGACGAGUGGCGGACGGGUGAGUAAUGUCUGGGAAACUGCCCGAUGGAGGGGGAUAACUACUGGAAACGGUAGCUAAUACCGCAUAACGUCGCAAGACCAAAGUGGGGGACCUCCGGGCCUCACACCAUCGGAUGUGCCCAGAUGGGAUUAGCUAGUAGGCGGGGUAACGGCCCACCUAGGCGACGAUCCCUAGCUGGUCUGAGAGGAUGACCAGCCACACUGGAACUGAGACACGGUCCAGACUCCUACGGGAGGCAGCAGUGGGGAAUAUUGCACAAUGGGCGCAAGCCUGAUGCAGCCAUGCCGCGUGUAUGAAGAAGGCCUUCGGGUUGUAAAGUACUUUCAGCGGGGAGGAAGGUGGUGAGGUUAAUAACCUCAUCAAUUGACGUUACCCGCAGAAGAAGCACCGGCUAACUCCGUGCCAGCAGCCGCGGUAAUACGGAGGGUGCAAGCGUUAAUCGGAAUUACUGGGCGUAAAGCGCACGCAGGCGGUCUGUUAAGUCAGAUGUGAAAUCCCCGGGCUUAACCUGGGAACUGCAUUUGAAACUGGCAGGCUUGAGUCUCGUAGAGGGGGGUAGAAUUCCAGGUGUAGCGGUGAAAUGCGUAGAGAUCUGGAGGAAUACCGGUGGCGAAGGCGGCCCCCUGGACGAAGACUGACGCUCAGGUGCGAAAGCGUGGGGAGCAAACAGGAUUAGAUAC